AGGGACGGAGCCAGGAUUUGAUCUUGAGGGGGGCCAAAAUUAAACUUCCAGCCUUCAGAUUUUUCAAGAUAAAAGGCUAUGCCAUUGAGCUUCCCAAGUCCCAACUCCAGAAAAUAAUCCUAUUUCCUAGCAUUAUUUCUUCUAACCAUAGGUCCAUAAUUUCACUGUAUUUACGAAACAGUCCAUUAGCUCCACCAAUCCUAAUUCCUAGCAUUAUUUGAGACUUGGGAGUGCAUAUAAAUCUCAAUAAAAGCAAAUCUAACAACGCAAAUACGCAAUGACAAAUUAUAACACAUAAACAAAUAUAAAUUGAAUUGAUAACUCCUCGUAUCAACAAUUUUAAACCCCAAUUUGUUUCUGCACAUACAUAAUAUAUAUAUGUAAAAAGUAAAGAAUGAAUAAAGUAAAGAAUCUCUACUUGACUACUUUCAUCUUCAAGCUGGAAACCAAGGAGGCAUGGACAAAAUGGUGGAUGGGCUGGGGGCGAAAAUGGAAUGGCAAAUGUUAAGACAAAAGUAAAACAAGACUUUGUUUGUUGGUGUGUAUUGUGUAGUGGAGAAUUUGAGAUAAUGAAAUAAAAUGAAUUGACACAAGACUCACAAAACACAAAUUUAAUCUCAUAAUUCAAGUGGGUAGUACUUAAC
rnacentral:lncRNA from 1 species